rnacentral:rRNA from 1 species
CCUACGGGAGGCAGCAGUGGGGAAUAUUGGACAAUGGGGGGAACCCUGAUCCAGCGACGCCGCGUGAGUGAAGAAGUAUUUCGGUAUGUAAAGCUCUAUCAGCAGGGAAGAAAAUGACGGUACCUGACUAAGAAGGCCCGGCUAACGACGUGCCAGCAGCCGCGGUAAUACGUAGGGGGCAAGCGUUAGCCGGAUUUACUGGGUGGAAAGGGAGCGUAGACGGGGCAGCAAGUCUGAUGUGAAAGGUCGGGGCCCAACCCCGGGACUGCAUUGGAAACUGUGGAACUGGAGGACAGGAGAGGUAAGCGGACUUCCUCGUGUAGCGGUGAAAUGCUUAGCUAUUAGGCGGAACACCAGUGGCGAAGGCGGCUUACUGGACUGUAACUGCCGUUGCGGCUC